rnacentral:rRNA from 1 species
CAGAACGAACGCUGGCGGCGCGUUUAAGCAUGCAAGUCGAGCGGCAAGGGCCUUCGGGCCCCUAGAGCGGCGGACGGGUGGGUAACACGUGGACAAUCUGCCCCCCGGCCCGGGAUAGCCCAGGGAAACCUGGAUUAAUACCGGAUGAGACGGGACCCGCGAUGGCGGGACCCGGGAAAGGCGCUGCGGCGCCGCCGGGGGAUGAGUCUGCGUCCCAUUAGCUAGACGGCGGGGUAACGGCCCACCGUGGCGACGAUGGGUAGCCGGCCUGAGAGGGUGGACGGCCACAUUGGAACUGAGACACGGUCCAGACUCCUACGGGAGGCAGCAGCUAAGAAUCUUCCGCAAUGGGCGAAAGCCUGACGGAGCCGACGCCGCGUGAACGAAGAAGGCCGUGAGGUUGUAAAGUUCUUUUCGGGAGGGGGAACAACCGUGGCAGGGAAUGGCCGCGGGAUGACGUGAAUCCCGGAAUAAGCCCCGGCUAACUACGUGCCAGCCGCCGC